GGUGAGCGUGCUCCUGAGAUUCAGCGGCGGACGGGUGAGUAAUGCCUAGGAAUCUGCCUGGUAGUGGGGGACAACGUUUCGAAAGGAACGCUAAUACCGCAUACGUCCUACGGGAGAAAGCAGGGGACCUUCGGGCCUUGCGCUAUCAGAUGAGCCUAGGUCGGAUUAGCUAGUUGGUGGGGUAAUGGCUCCCAAGGCGACGAUCCGUAACUGGUCUGAGAGGAUGAUCAGUCACACUGGAACUGAGACNCGGUCCAGACUCCUACGGGAGGCAGCAGUGGGGAAAUAUUGGACAAUGGGCGAAAGCCUGAUCCAGCCAUGCCGCGUGUGU
rnacentral:rRNA from 2 species